CUUCCAAGGCACCGCUCAGCUGAAGCUUGGACCCCCUGGAUGCCAGGCGUGCAAGGUCUGUUCUCACCUCGAGCAGAGUUUGAGCAAAUGGAUCUUUCUGUGCUGGCUUCCUGCCAGAUCCUUUUCCACCUCUUUAUUCCUCGUUCUCUGUCGUCCUUGCCUAAGAAACCACCAUCUGGCCACAGAGCCGCCUAAGGAAGGGAUUGGCCUCCGUAGCCUCCAUGAAAAAUGAGGAGACACGUUUCAGGCCACCGAGGCACAGCGGUUGCUCAGCAGAACCCUUUGGUCUUCGCUUACGGCAAGACUGAGCGAUAUUCAAGCGUGUCUACACCAUUCUAGGUGCAUCGAGACGGCUGUCACGAGCGUCCUAUCAGCCCGCCUUCAAGGAGAAUCAUCUCAAGGGGCGCCUGGUGAGCUCGGUUAAACGCCUGAAUCUUGAUCUCGGCGUUGUGCGUUCCAGCCCCACGUGGAGUAUAGCGAUUACUUAAAUAAAUAAAACUUUAAAGAAACCAUCUCAGCUCAAGGUUGCAUCCAUGUUUUGGGGGAAGAAAAGAUCUGGUACAGUUUCUUCAUCGCAAAGCUGAAAAUCCCAAUGUGAGCAUUUAGUUGGUGUUACAUAUCCUCUUUGUGGUGAGUUUACAGCCAGAGAUCUGGUUCUACCCAUAAGCUCUGUCCACUCAGCCCCGUGAGUGUGAAAUUGUAGCAACUAGAACAAUUUGGAUGUCUGUUUUUGGUGCAAGAACUUUUCAUUGUUUAUAACGGGAAAUAUUCUAAAGGCUAAUACUGAUACUGAAGCACGUGAGGGCAACUUGUCCCAUUAAGCAUUUCAUCCGGAACAUGCGGAGACCUUUCCCACUCAUGUCUGAGGCGACUACAUCUGUGGCAUCAAUGAGAAUGUAUGAUUGCUAGGUGUUGUCUGGUUAGCAUCCAAUUAUGUACACUGUAUUUAUUUUAAAUUUAGAAGAUGCACACCAGAGGGUUCCAGGAAUGACAUGGGAAGAAACUGGCAGCGCACUGAAUGGAAAAAAUUAAUGACUUGAAUUAUACAGCCUGUGCAUCGAAGCCGACAAGAGGGGGAGAAAGGAGGGCACAGGUGUUCACACUGUAGUCCGCCGACAGUCCUGGGCGGUGCUUGAAGAGCAGUCACCCUCCGCGCCCCUGUCCGUCACAUCCUUUACCUUCAUGGCAAGGCGAGGCUCUUUGGAUCACGCCUGUGCAACAAUUUCGGGAGUACAAAAGUAAUGCCCCUAAACAGACUUCCACAGCAAACAUCUUUGUAGAGAACAGAUCCAACUGUUAAGUUUCAGUGAAAUCACUUUGUCAGCUCCACAGGGCUAGAGGGUGGUGGGGAGUGAGCAGAGCCAGAGCAAAGAAACACAGAGUGGGCCUUGGGCAUUUCUGCUGAUGGAAGGAAUCAAUAUCUGUUGGGCUGCUACCCUGGGAAGCACCUGUUAUGUGUCAGGGACCUUCACAUACAUUGUCUCCUUCAUCCCUCAGGAUUACCGCUAAGUUUAGAGGCAAAGAAACUGAGGUCAGCCUGAUUGCCUUGCCCUGGGUUCGGUUGUGUCCCCUCAAAAUUCAUACAUUGAAAUCCUGGCCCCCUAAUACCUCAGAAUAUGACCUUCCUUGGGCAUAGGGUCCUUGCAGAAGUAAUUAGUGGAGAUGAGGUCAUAUUAGAGUCGGGUGGGCUCCAAAUACAAUAUGACUGAUGUUCUGAUGCAAAGGGGGAAAUUUGGAGACAGACACCCACAUACACGCAAGGAGGAGGCCGUGAGAGUGGAGGUAGGGAUGCUAGUGAUGCUUCUACAAGCCAAGGAUACCAGAGAUUGCCAGUAACCACCCCAACCCACGCCCAGAAGAUAGGAGAGAGUCAGGGAACAGGUUCUCCCCCAAACCUUCGGAGGAGGAACCAGCCCAGCCAACACCUUCAUCUCAGAUGCCUGGCCCCCAGAACUAACAGACAAUAAAUGCUGUUGGUUAAGCCCUCAGUCUGUGCUCCAUUGUUCUGGCGGUCCCCGCAAAUUAAUACAACAUGGUUACGAAGCAGAGGGCCACUAGGUCUGUCUGAGUCCAAACCUUGUCUGCGAAGGCAGGGUCAGUACUCGCCUUGGCACCUGCUGUGUGCGGGCAUGUCCCGAAGUCUCCCCUCCCUUUAUAUAAAGGAGGAAACUGAGGCCCAGAGGUUAGACUGUCCUGUCCAAGGCUUCACAGCCAGGUAGGCCAGGGCAGAGGCAGGUUUCUCUGUGCUUUUGCGUAUGUGACAUCGUGAUUCUUCUCCUCGUUGUUCCAAUUUCAGAAUGUUCAAGACAGCUUCUUGGAUUCCUGGUAAAUCAGGAGCAGAAAGCAAAAAAAGGAUUGUUCCUGACAUGGAAGUGCCUGAAAGCUUUUCAUGGGGAAAGGAUUUGGGAUCCUGGCAGGUUGUAGUCUCAGAACCAAUCAGUCAUUUGUUCUGUGAGUUAGGUCUUACUCUUCUCAUAUUACCCAUGAGAAAACAGACUUGGAGACCGUGUAGCUGUUGGGGAAUGGCGGCCUAAACCCCAGCCUUGUAGACCGCAGGGGCUGAUCCGGGCACACAAACUGUGCUGCCCUGCCCAGAGUCCUUGGGUGCACUCUGCUCUUGGCCUCCCCUCUCCGAGGCUCAUUCUUUGGCUUCCUGGCCCUCUUACCUCUUAUCCGUCUUUUCUGUGGUUCCCUCUGGACUUCGGUGACAGUCUUCCAUGUGACGUGUGUCAUAGACAGUAGAAGCCAUGUUCCCACACCACCAUGGAGGACUUGUAAAAGGCUGAUGGAAAAUCAGUUUGUGACCCUUUGAUGACCAUCACCUCCAAAAGAGGGCUGGGUUUAGGGAAAGGGUUUCUUUGGAGAGCCCUGUCUCCAUGGAGGUGAUGGGGGCAGGGGUUUCUAUUCUUAUCUCUAAUCUGUUGGAAGAGGUGCCACUGUGCCCUUGGCUUGGGAUAUGCCUCUGAGCUGUGGGGCAGGGCAUACUGGUGUAUGACUUAUACCCAAGAGAGCCGUGCUGUGGGAAAUAACUGUAUUCUCACCUGACCAAACUGCCCGUGUCCCAAGGACCACGGGUGAGUCAGGUGGGGCAAGUCACCCUCUCUACCCUCACUUAUGUCCAUUCUUCGUUCAGUCACAGUGAAUCAGUAGCAUUGAAUCAGUUCACUAAGUGUGUUGGGCUUUCUUUGACCCCCAGGCUUCUGCACAUGCAGCUUACCCCACCCCCCCCCCCCGAAUACUCUGCCUCACCCUUUCUCCUGGUGAGUUUGAAUCAGUCCUCUGCUCCAAAGUUGAGAUAGCACUUUCCCUGGGACCCCAAAAGUUGAGUCAACUUUCACUCAUGGGCUCACUGGGAUUUGAGCCUUCCGCUUCAGAAGGCUCCUGCACCAGUCUGAGAACUCCUUAGGUGAGGAGCACAGUCUAGUUCG